AGAGUUUGAUCAUGGCUCAGGAUGAACGCUGGCGGCGUGCUUAACACAUGCAAGUCGAACGAUGAUGCCAGCUUGCUGGUGGAUUAGUGGCGAACGGGUGAGUAACACGUGAGUAACCUGCCCUUGACUCUGGGAUAAGCCUGGGAAACUGGGUCUAAUACCGGAUAUGACCUUCCAUCGCAUGGUGGUUGGUGGAAAGCUUUUGUGGUUUUGGAUGGACUCGCGGCCUAUCAGCUUGUUGGUGGGGUAAUGGCCUACCAAGGCGACGACGGGUAGCCGGCCUGAGAGGGUGACCGGCCACACUGGGACUGAGACACGGCCCAGACUCCUACGGGAGGCAGCAGUGGGGAAUAUUGCACAAUGGGCGCAAGCCUGAUGCAGCGACGCCGCGUGAGGGAUGACGGCCUUCGGGUUGUAAACCUCUUUCAGUAGGGAAGAAGCGUAAGUGACGGUACCUGCAGAAGAAGCGCCGGCUAACUACGUGCCAGCAGCCGCGGUAAUACGUAGGGCGCAAGCGUUAUCCGGAAUUAUUGGGCGUAAAGAGCUCGUAGGCGGUUUGUCGCGUCUGCCGUGAAAGUCCGGGGCUCAACUCCGGAUCUGCGGUGGGUACGGGCAGACUAGAGUGAUGUAGGGGAGACUGGAAUUCCUGGUGUAGCGGUGA
rnacentral:rRNA from 1 species